UACGAAGGUGGCAAGCGUUACUCGGAAUUACUAGGCGUAAAGGGCAGGUAGGUGGUUUGAUAAGUCUGUUGUGAAAGCUCCUGGCUUAACUGGGAGAGGUCAACAGAAACUAUCAGGCUUGAGUAUGGGAGAGGGUAUUGGAAUUCCCGGUGUAGCGGUGAAAUGCGCAGAUAUCAGGAGGAACACCAAUUGCGAAGGCAGCUCGCUGGGACGUUACUGACGCUGAGACGCGAAAGCGUGGGGAGCAAACAGG
rnacentral:rRNA from 1 species